GACGAACGCUGGCGGCGUGCCUAAUACAUGCAAGUUGAGCGCUGAAGGUUGGUACUUGUACCAACUGGAUGAGCAGCGAACGGGUGAGUAACGCGUGGGGAAUCUGCCUUUGAGCGGGGGACAACAUUUGGAAACGAAUGCUAAUACCGCAUAAAAACUUUAAACACAAGUUUUAAGUUUGAAAGAUGCAAUUGCAUCACUCAAAGAUGAUCCCGCGUUGUAUUAGCUAGUUGGUGAGGUAAAGGCUCACCAAGGCGAUGAUACAUAGCCGACCUGAGAGGGUGAUCGGCCACAUUGGGACUGAGACACGGCCCAAACGCCUACGGGAGGCAGCAGUAGGGAAUCUUCGGCAAUGGACGAAAGUCUGACCGAGCAACGCCGCGUUAGUGAAGAAGGUUUUCGGAUCGUAAAACUCUGUUGGUAGAGAAGAACGUUGGUGAGAGUGGAAAGCUCAUCAAGUGACGGUAACUACCCAGAAAGGGACGGCUAACUACGUG
rnacentral:rRNA from 1 species